AACGAACGCUGGCGGCAUGCCUAACACAUGCAAGUCGAACGAUUGCCUUCGGGUGAUAGUGGCGCACGGGUGCGUAACGCGUGGGAAUCUGCCCUUAGGUUCGGAAUAACAGCUGGAAACGGCUGCUAAUACCGGAUGAUAUCGCGAGAUCAAAGAUUUAUCGCCUGAGGAUGAGCCCGCGUUGGAUUAGGUAGUUGGUGGGGUAAAGGCCUACCAAGCCGACGAUCCAUAGCUGGUCUGAGAGGAUGAUCAGCCACACUGGGACUGAGACACGGCCCAGAAUCCUACGGGAGGCAGCAGUGGGGAAUAUUGGACAAUGGGCGCAAGCCUGAUCCAGCAAUGCCGCGUGAGUGAUGAAGGCCCUAGGGUUGUAAAGCUCGUUUACCCGGGAAGAUAAUGACUGUACCGGGAGAAUAAGCCCCGGCUAACUCCGUG
rnacentral:rRNA from 1 species